rnacentral:rRNA from 1 species
UACGGGGGGGGCAAGCGUUGUUCGGAAUUACUGGGCGUAAAGGGUUCGUAGGUGGCUUGCUAAGUCACACGUGAAAUCCCUCAGCUUAACUGGGGAACUGCGUGUGAUACUGGCGAGCUUGAGUGCAGGAGAGGAACGCGGAAUUCCAGGUGUAGCGGUGAAAUGCGUAGAUAUCUGGAGGAACACCGGUGGCGAAGGCGGCGUUCUGGACUGCAACUGACACUGAAGAACGAAAGCUAGGGGAGCAAACAGG